rnacentral:rRNA from 1 species
GACGAACGCUGGCGGCGUGCCUAAUACAUGCAAGUCGAACGCAGUGGGGACGGGUGAGUAACACGUGGGUAACCUCCCAUCAGAGGGGAUAACACUUGGAAACAGGUGCUAAACCGAUACUGAUGGAUGAACCCGCGGUGCAUUAGCUAGGUGGUGAGGUAACGGCUCACCAAGGCCACGAGUCAUAGCCGACCGUGCAGGGUGAUAGGCCACCCGGGAAUGUGGACACGGCCCAGACUCCUCCGGGUGGACGAAGUGGGGAAUCUUCGGCAAUGGACGCAAGUCUGACCGAGCAACGCCGCUGGAGUAAAGAAGGUUUUCGGUGCGGAAGACCCUUUUGUUAGGAAAGCGGGAUCUAACCAGAAAGCCACGGCUAACUACGUGCCAGCAGCCGCGGUAAUUC